rnacentral:piRNA from 1 species
UGCCAGACUUAUUACCGGUAAU